GGGUUGUGAGGUUAAGCGACUAAGCGUACACGGUGGAUGCCCUGGCAGUCAGAGGCGAUGAAGGACGUGCUAAUCUGCGAUAAGCGUCGGUAAGGUGAUAUGAACCGUUAUAACCGGCGAUUUCCGAAUGGGGAAACCCAGUGUGUUUCGACACACUAUCAUUAACUGAAUCCAUAGGUUAAUGAGGCGAACCGGGGGAACUGAAACAUCUAAGUACCCCGAGGAAAAGAAAUCAACCGAGAUUCCCCCAGUAGCGGCGAGCGAACGGGGAGCAGCCCAGAGCCUGAAUCAGUGUGUGUGUUAGUGGAAGCGUCUGGAAAGGCGCGCGAUACAGGGUGACAGCCCCGUACACAAAAAUGCACAUACUGUGAGCUCGAUGAGUAGGGCGGGACACGUGGUAUCCUGUCUGAAUAUGGGGGGACCAUCCUCCAAGGCUAAAUACUCCUGACUGACCGAUAGUGAACCAGUACCGUGAGGGAAAGGCGAAAAGAACCCCGGCGAGGGGAGUGAAAAAGAACCUGAAACCGUGUACGUACAAGCAGUGGGAGCACGCUUAGGCGUGUGACUGCGUACCUUUUGUAUAAUGGGUCAGCGACUUAUAUUCUGUAGCAAGGUUAACCGAAUAGGGGAGCCGAAGGGAAACCGAGUCUUAACUGGGCGUUAAGUUGCAGGGUAUAGACCCGAAACCCGGUGAUCUAGCCAUGGGCAGGUUGAAGGUUGGGUAACACUAACUGGAGGACCGAACCGACUAAUGUUGAAAAAUUAGCGGAUGACUUGUGGCUGGGGGUGAAAGGCCAAUCAAACCGGGAGAUAGCUGGUUCUCCCCGAAAGCUAUUUAGGUAGCGCCUCGUGAAUUCAUCUCCGGGGGUAGAGCACUGUUUCGGCAAGGGGGUCAUCCCGACUUACCAACCCGAUGCAAACUGCGAAUACCGGAGAAUGUUAUCACGGGAGACACACGGCGGGUGCUAACGUCCGUCGUGAAGAGGGAAACAACCCAGACCGCCAGCUAAGGUCCCAAAGUCAUGGUUAAGUGGGAAACGAUGUGGGAAGGCCCAGACAGCCAGGAUGUUGGCUUAGAAGCAGCCAUCAUUUAAAGAAAGCGUAAUAGCUCACUGGUCGAGUCGGCCUGCGCGGAAGAUGUAACGGGGCUAAACCAUGCACCGAAGCUGCGGCAG
rnacentral:rRNA from 1 species